rnacentral:rRNA from 1 species
GACGAACGCUGGCGGCGUGCUUAACACAUGCAAGUCGAACGGAAAGGCCCUGCUUUUGUGGGGUGCUCGAGUAGCGAACGGGUGAGUAACACGUGAGUAACCUGCCCUUGACUUUGGGAUAACUUCAGGAAACUGGGGCUAAUACCGGAUAGGAGCUCCUGCUGCAUGGUGGGGGUUGGAAAGUUUCGGCGGUUGGGGAUGGACUCGCGGCUUAUCAGCUUGUUGGUGGGGUAGUGGCUUACCAAGGCUUUGACGGGUAGCCGGCCUGAGAGGGUGACCGGCCACAUUGGGACUGAGAUACGGCCCAGACUCCUACGGGAGGCAGCAGUGGGGAAUAUUGCACAAUGGGCGGAAGCCUGAUGCAGCAACGCCGCGUGCGGGAUGACGGCCUUCGGGUUGUAAACCGCUUUCGCCUGUGACGAAGCGUGAGUGACGGUAAUGUGUAAAGAAGCACCGGCUAACUACGUG